UACAGAGGGUGCGAGCGUUAAUCGGAAUUACUGGGCGUAAAGCGCACGUAGGUGGCGACGUAAGUCGGGUGUGAAAGCCCCGGGCUCAACCUGGGAAUUGCAUUCGAGACUGCAUUGCUGGAGUACGGAAGAGGAGGGCGGAAUUCCCGGUGUAGCGGUGAAAUGCGUAGAUAUCAGGAGGAACACCUGCGGUGUAGACGGCUUACUGGACCAUAACUGACGCUGAGGCACGAAAGCGUGGGUAGCAAACAGG
rnacentral:rRNA from 1 species